GAGAUUUCGUCAGGAUUACCUCCUCCCAAUUCUGACGAAUACGGCCAGCUCUCUCCUCCUCCCGAUAGCUGGUCGACAAAAACGACACCCGCCGGACCUCCUCCCCCGGCGGGUGUUGUUU
rnacentral:sRNA from 1 species